AAUCACAUCCUGCGAUUGAAUCACUUCUGCUCCCCACUUCAGCUCUCCCAGGGACAAAAUCUGAUCCAGCGAAGCUACUCACCACCAAAUACUGAAAAAGGCAUUUUGAGGAGGUGCUGUGUCUGAAAAACAAGAAAGGAUUUUAAGAAAAUGAAAAGGGAACUGAACCAAGGGCCUUGGGCAUGGUACACAAGAACUCUACCACUGAGUUGUAUCUCCAGUGUUCCCACGUCACCGUAUUUUAAAUGGAAUUUCAUCUUGCCUGUUGGUAUUUGUGCAUACGUAUCCUUAAAGAAUAUUCCAGCACAAGAAAGGGCUUUCCUUGAAGUCCCUUUAUCUGCCGAAAAAUAAAUCCUACCUCCUGUCAUGGACCCUCUCUCUAAGAUUCUCAUCAACCAGGGAAGAGAAGUCACAGGAGAAAAGGCUGGAGUCAAGCUCACACCCAAACGGACCAUAUCACGGGCAUCACCCAUUCCUCUGAGAGCUGCUCUGAGAUCAGACAACUUUAAUUUUCUAAGAGACUUUUUAUCUGCAUUAUCUGCAGAUAAUGUUCUCUGGGUGUUUCCUCCCUGCACCCAUGGCCUCAGCUCCCAGAAGUCCCAAGUCCCAUGCCCUUCCUCCUCCCUAUAGCUCCAG
ensembl:lncRNA